UGGGGAAUUUUGGACAAUGGGCGCAAGCCUGAUCCAGCCAUGCCGCGUGCGGGAAGAGGGCCUUCGGGUUGUAAACCGCUUUUGUCAGGGAAGAAAUCUUCUGAGUUAAUACCUCGGGAGGAUGACGGUACCUGAAGAAUAAGCACCGGCUAACUACGUGCCAGCAGCCGCGGUAAUACGUAGGGUGCAAGCGUUAAUCGGAAUUACUGGGCGUAAAGCGUGCGCAGGCGGUUUUGUAAGACAGAGGUGAAAUCCCCGGGCUCAACCUGGGAACUGCCUUUGUGACUGCAAGGCUUGAGUGCGGCAGAGGGGGAUGGAAUUCCGCGUGUAGCAGUGAAAUGCGUAGAUAUGCGGAGGAACACCGAUGGCGAAGGCAAUCCCCUGGGCCUGCACUGACGCUCAUGCACGAAAGCGUGGGGAGCAAACAGGAUUAGAUAGCCCUGGUAGUCACGCCCUAAACGAUGUCAACUGGUUGUUGGGAAGGUUCCUUCUCAGUAACGUAGCUAACGCGUGAAGUUGACCGCCUGGGGAGUACGGCCGCAAGGUUGAAAC
rnacentral:rRNA from 1 species